rnacentral:tRNA from 1 species
GGGCGUAGCUCAGUUGGUAGAGCACCACCUUGCCAAGGUGGCUGUCGAGAGUUCGAAUCUCUUCGCCC